ensembl:lncRNA
UGAUACCAGACACUCUAUCUUGCGUGGGAACUGUUCGCUUUCAUGAUCUUCAGAAAAGCAGGUAUAGUUGUACUGAAAAUCUUCCCUGGACAGAUGUGGAAAAUACAAUGGUAGUGUGCAGAGGUCACCAUUCUUUGUGACAUUUUUUGUUUCCCUUGGCCUAGGACAAUGAGGACAGUCUGAGAGUUUGACCCAGUGUCCAUGGACAAAUCCAGAGGAGCAGUUGUAGGUGCAGUUCAACACUAAAGGCUCUCCAACUGCUGCAUGGAUGACUUCAUGCUGUUUCUGCAGGGAGCUACUGCCCAUGGAAAAGGACCUCCCAGCCUUUGACCUGUCUUGCCAAACAGUGCAAGAGCUGCAAUGGGACCUUUCUAUGUGGAGGUACUGUGGUACCUCGCUGGAGUAGGACAGGGGCAGAGCUAACUCAGCCGUCAAGACAGCUUGUCCCCCCAUGCCCUCCUGGGACACACAGGGACAGUGAGGAGGGAGCAGCCUGCAUGUUUUGUCCUUUAGGUCAUUACUGUGUUGGAGGUGUUGCUUUGCCGUGCCCAGCAGGAACCUACGGACCCAAAGAGGCUUUCAUGGGGUGAGGGACUGCCCCCCCUGUCCAGCAGGUAAUCAGACCAUCCUCAGGUCAUCUCCACAGUGGGGAUUCAGUAAAGUUACAAUACCAACAUAAAUAUAUAGUCGAUUAUUAUAAAAGUUGAAUCAGAGGCUGACAUAAAAAACAAAAUACACAUGUAAAACAUACAUGUAAGUUUCCUGCUUCUUGUUCUGCAGCGUUUGUGGUUUAUUUUAUCUUUUGUGAUGUUAUGUGUGCUAUGCUAUGUUUUGUCAUGUCAUCUUAUGUUAUCUCUAUUGUCUGGAAGGGAUGAGUAAUUGUGACACUUACAAUAAUACUCUUCAACAGGGUUUUACUGUUUGGAAGACAGCUCACGGAGACCGGGCUCCCAAUUCAUGUGCCCACAAGGGUAUUACUGUGAGGAGGGCACAGAAAUGCCCCACGGGUCACCUUGCCCCGCUGGCACUGCAGGAGAACAACUGGGCCAGACAAGUAGGACAGCCUGAGAUGUUCAGAGGGACGAUUGUGUCCUGCAGACCGACUGAUGGGCCAAUUGGAGGCUUGUGUCCAGCAGGAAGUUACUGCCCUCCUGGCUCUCCCCAUGCCUCCGACAAUUUUAGCAUUCAGCACUGGCCUCCGCACCUCCCAGCAGCGUGUUGACUGCCCAGCUGUUUAAGAACUCAUAGUUAGGGCCUGGAGUCCCAGUCAGAUCACAUGGUCAGAAAAACUAGCCCCAUCUAUUAUCGAGAUCCGAUUCAGCUAUACUUUUUUUAUGUUUUCAAUUUAUAGAAAAGCACCCACUCUCUGUGUCAUCAUCAUCAAAGUGUUUCUUUGUUUUAGGUCCUAUUGUUUAGGUUCAAAUAAUACUUCUCCAAUUGGCCUGUGAUCUGCUGGUUUCUACUGUACUCUGUAUCACCUGCUCAGAAUGAGGCUGAGGAGGGUCAGUAUGCCCUGAUCCCUGUCCCAUUGGCACCGGUACAGUACAUGUAGUGCACGAUGUAGGGGAGGGAUCAGAGCAGGUAGCCUAGCGGUUAAGAGUGUUGAGCCAGUAAUUGAAAGGUCACUGGUUCAAAUCCCUGAGUCAACUAGGCAAAAAAUCUGUAGAUGUGCCAUUGAGCAAGGCACUUAACCCUAAUUGCUCAUGUAAGUCGCUCUGGAUAAGAGUGUUUACUAAAUAACUCAAAUGUAAAAUAUAAACAUAAUUACACAUAAGAUGUUGACUGCAAAUUGACUGCACAAAGCCCAAACAGAUAUGUUUGACUGAAACAUAAUCAUGUCCAACCUUGCUUACAUUUGUAUACAAUGCGUGGGAGUACUUGAACAGAUUAUUUUCUAAUUAAAAUCACUUGUUGCUGAUUUCCUGAUGUUUUUAGUCUAUUAUGUCCAACAAUAAAAUAUGUAUAAAUAAAAAGUUAAUAUAUACAGUACCAGUCAAAAGUUGACACCUACUCAUUCCAGGGUUUUUCUUUAUUUGUACUAUUUUCUACAUUGUAGAAUAACAGUGAAGACAUCAAAACUAUGAAAUAUGUGGAAUCAUGUAGAAACCAAAAAAGUGUUAAAGAAUCACAUCAGUGACUCAACCCACUCAAGUCGAGUAUAGCAAAAGCCUGGCACGCCGUGACGCGC